GACGAACGCUGGCGGCGUGCUUAACACAUGCAAGUCGAACGGAAAGGCCCUGCUUGCAGGGUACUCGAGUGGCGAACGGGUGAGUAACACGUGGGUGAUCUGCCCUGCACUUCGGGAUAAGCCUGGGAAACUGGGUCUAAUACCGGAUAUGACCUUCCAUGUAGUGUGGGGGGUGGAAAGAUUUAUCGGUGUGGGAUGAGCCCGCGGCCUAUCAGCUUGUUGGUGGGGUAAUGGCCUACCAAGGCGUCGACGGGUAGCCGGCCUGAGAGGGUGGACGGCCACAUUGGGACUGAGAUACGGCCCAGACUCCUACGGGAGGCAGCAGUGGGGAAUAUUGCACAAUGGGCGGAAGCCUGAUGCAGCGACGCCGCGUGGGGGAUGACGGCCUUCGGGUUGUAAACCUCUUUCGACAGGGACGAAGCUUCGGCGACGGUACCUGUAUAAGAAGCACCGGCUAACUACGUG
rnacentral:rRNA from 1 species